rnacentral:rRNA from 1 species
UACGUAGGGGGCAAGCGUUGUCCGGAUUUACUGGGCGUAAAGAGCGUGUAGGCGGCCAAGCAGGUCCGUUGUGAAAACUGGAGGCUUAACCUCCAGACGUCGACGGAAACCGCGUGGCUAGAGUCCGGAAGAGGAGAGUGGAAUUCCUGGUGUAGCGGUGAAAUGCGCAGAUAUCAGGAAGAACACCAAUGGCGAAAGGCAGCUCUCUGGGGACGGUACUGACGCUGAGACGCGAAAGCGUGGGGAGCGAACAGG